CCCUUAGAUGUUCUGGGCUGCACGCGUGCUACAAUGGCGUUUCCAGCAAGUCUGCGAACCCGAGAGGGCCAGCGGAUCUUCGAAUUGGCGUCGUGAUCGGGACAGUCGAUUGAAAUUAUUUGACUCAAACGAGGAAUUCCUUGUAAUCGCGAUUCAUCAUAUCGCGCUGAAUACGUCCCUGCCCUUUGUACACACCGCCCGUCGCUCCUACCGAUUGAGCGAUCCGGUAAAUGUUUUGGAUUGGUGCCGGGGCGGCUAGCUGCCGGUCGCUACGAAAUUUUGUGAACCUUAUCGCUUAGAGGAAGGAAAAGUCGUAACA
rnacentral:rRNA from 1 species